rnacentral:rRNA from 1 species
UCCGUAGGCGGGCAAUUAAGUCAGAGGUGAAAUCCCACAGCUCAACUGUGGAACUGCCUUUGAUACUGGUUGUCUUGAGUUACAGUGAAGUAGAUAGAAUAUGUAGUGUAGCGGUGAAAUGCAUAGAUAUUACAUAGAAUACCGAUUGCGAAGGCAGUCUACUAACUGUAUACUGACGCUAAUGGACGAAAGCGUGGGGAGCGAACAGGAUUAGAUACCCGAGUAGUCC